UACGAAGGGGGCGAGCGUUGUUCGGAUUUACGUGGGCGUAAAGCGUGCGUAGGUGGUGAGUUAAGUCGUGAUGUGAAAUCCCCGGGCUCAACCUGGGAAUGGCAUUGGAUACUGGCUCGCUAGAGUGCGGUAGAGGGUGGUGGAAUUCCCGGUGUAGCAGUGAAAUGCGUAGAGAUCGGGGAGGAACAUCUGUGGCGAAGGCGGCCCACCUGGA
rnacentral:rRNA from 1 species